rnacentral:rRNA from 1 species
CGUGCGGUUCUAUUUUGUUGGUUUCUAGGACCGCCGUAAUGAUUAAUAGGGACAGUCGGGGGCAUCAGUAUUCAAUUGUCAGAGGUGAAAUUCUUGGAUUUAUUGAAGACUAACUACUGCGAAAGCAUUUGCCAAGGAUGUUUUCAUUAAUCAGGAACGAAAGUUAGGGGAUCGAAGACGAUCAGAUACCGUCGUAGUCUUAACCAUAAACUAUGCCGACUAGGGAUCGGGCGACGUUAUUACUUGACUCGCUCGGCACCUUACGAGAAAUCAAAGUGCUUGGGCUCCAGGGGGAGUAUGGUCGCAAGGCUGAAACUUAAAGAAAUUGACGGAAGGGCACCACCAGGGGUGGAGCCUGCGGCUUAAUUUGACUCAACACGGGGAAACUCA